AUGGAUGAUUCGAAUCCUACAUCCUCACAUGUCGAACCAAAUGUGAAGUUGGAGAAGAAUGGAGAGGAAGACAAAGUCGAUGCAACUUUGUUCAAGCAAAUUGUGGGAUCUCUGAGCAAAUGGGUUACAAGUUACAACAAGGAUAGUAAAGAGCCAGAAGUACGCAAGCGACAGAGCAAGCAAGCCAAGAACCUCCCAAGAUCUCUCUCUCUCCGUCAUCGUUCCCAACUGCCCCUGCUGAUUUCAUCUAAUCAUCUUAGCUACUAUGAAAUCUUCAAUUAA